UCUCAUUUCUAUAUAAGGUUCUGCCCAAAAGGAAUCAGAAAGUCCUUAGUGUAUAGAAUUAUACCCAGCAUAGGAUAGCUAUUUCAUUUCUUUUCUUUUUAAAGCAAUUAAAACACAAAAGAACUGUUUACAAAAAAUAUCACAAUGAAAAAUGUUUAACACUUGAUAAAUAUAUAUCUCUUACUUUCCUCUUCUAGGUUUGAUGCUGAAAACAUGAACAUUUAGAAGGAUUAUUGAAUAGACAGUUCAUAUUUACCUAGAUUUCACAUUUUUAAGCAGUUCCUUAAAUUUCUUCCCAUCUGACUUGAAGGGGACAUGGCUUCAGUUUAUUCUCCUGGAGGUGUUCAUAAUCUCUGAGAACACCUCUACUUUUUUCCUUCUGGCAAUAUUUCCUUGUACUGGACAGAAAUGAACACUGGGAAGACAGAUUAUCAGAGGAAGGUGACUAGGAUAUUCUACUCCAAACAACUACUCCUCCAUCAGACCACUGUCGGCCCAGGUCUGGGAAUGUCAUCUUUUAAGGAGACUUUCUCUGCUAUAUUUCCAUCUACUGAUUUUCCCACUGAGUUGUUACUUUCAAAUGCUGUGAAGAAUGGAACUCAUUGUAUGUAUAUGUGUAUACAUACAUGUAUGUAUAGACAUUUUCCACUGAACUUCAGGUAACAAUUGUCUGUCAUCCCUAAGAAAACUG
rnacentral:lncRNA from 1 species